GCCAGCAUGGCAUAGUGGUUUGAGCAUUGGACUACAACUCUGGAGACCAGGGUUCGAUUCCCCCUUCGGCU